rnacentral:rRNA from 1 species
AAAGCCUGUCUCAGUUCGGAUUGGAGUCUGCAACCCGACUCCAUGAAGCUGGAUUCGCUAGUAAUCGCGCAUCAGCCAUGGCGCGGUGAAUACGUUCCCGGGCCUUGUACACACCGCCCGUCAAGCCAUGGGAGCCGGGGGCGCCUGAAGUCCGGGACCGCGAGGACCGGCCUAGGGCGAAACUGGUAACUGGGGCUAAGUCGUAACAAGGUAUC